AGGAAGAAUGCACUUUGCUAGUGCCAGGUGAGGCAUAGGCAGGCAGGCUCCCAGACCGUGGGAGUUGGAGAUGCACAGGCAGGAGCACAAGUGCUUGCAGACAUCCCAGGGAGAUUGCAGUUGCCACCUGAGGAUCCCAGAGACUCUGAAGACACCCUGGCUUCAACUGCAGGAGUCAUGUGAGGGGCGCCACUCAGGACGGUCAGCGGGAGCCUGCGGCGGAGCAAGGAGGAGACAGCUGGGCACGGCGACCAGCGUGGCAGAGCGAUGGAGCCAUUGGGGGAGACGUGACACGGUUCUGAGCUCAGGCGCUGUGGAAUUUUCAUGAUGCCGUUCAGGGUGGCAACAGGAAACAGGAGUUGUGAAGCAGUCACAGGCUGUAACAGGCCCUUCACGUCUCCUCAGAUGCUGUUAGCAGGGGGAGGAAGCACCUGUUUGGGGUCACCUGCUGGCUGCAAUUCUCCUGUCCUUUGGCACUGGAAUAGGGGGACCUUCCCCUAUAUUUCCAGACACUUGGCCUCCUGCAGAUGCCCAGUCUGACUGCAAACCUGUGAAAUAACCUCGGAGUGACACAAUUUGCUGUAGGAAAAUAGCCCGAGUCCAGCCUUCCCUCUCCUCCCACCUGCCUUCUCCUUCACUGCUGCAGUCUCCAGGAAAUCCUGUAAAUGAUGAGAGAGUUAUUUAUGGGCAGCAGGCAGUGGAGGCAAUCCACCUUGGGACUCGACCAGUGAAAAUCCCUGCAGGCAGCACUUGUGGGCCAGGGUGGAGAAUGAGCCAGUCUGCUGGGUGUUUCUUGACUCUAUCUACAGGCCCUGAAUGGGACACAGAAGUAAAAGGCCACUGAAUUAUCUGCUAAAUCCAUUGCCUUGUUCAGCAGCUCAGUGGGCUGACUAAGCUCCUAACCAGCUUGUAAGAGAGGUGAGAACUAGCUUUGGAGUUGAGGCUGUUUCCAAGCUGAGCUAUCACAGCUGCAAACCAUUAUUGGGGAACAGUUACACACACUAACUCUAGCCACCAAUGUCCAUACAAUUUUAUGGCCCUAAUCCAGCCAUCUCAUCUAAUAGGUGACUAUAUAAACUGUGUUUAAGUAAUGUGACCUGACAGGCAGUGCAUUUCUUUGUGAUUAUAGCAUGUGCCAUACAGCACAAAGCUAAAGGCAAUAAUCCCCAAGAGGUGUAUUGCCCUGGGUGUCUAAUUACUAUUAUGAAAUGAAUGUUUUCAUUAACAUGUAAUUUCAAGAAACUGUGCAUUCAAGCUAUGAUUAUGAUGUAACUGACAGCCAAUCGAAAGCUCCAGUCCUAUGAAGGUUGCAAAAGCCAUUUAUGCAUCAUGUAAAAACACAUACCGCAUGGGUUAAGGUUAAUGAUAUCCGGUUUGCAAAUAUUUAUUUCUGCAGCCAGGUGAUAUAUGGGACCCUUGUGUGAUGAGCAGCAUUUCAUUUUCAACUUGGAGCAGCUCACCUGCUCCCUGCUUACUCAUCCACCUCCUCAGCCCGGGCUAAUUAACACAUGCCAAACUCUGAGCAGCUUUCAGACACCCAGGUAAGAACAAAUGCAACAAACAAUUUAUUCCCUCCCUUGGGGGAAAUGAGGAAUAACCCCUCAGCCCCCCUCACCAAAAAAAAAAGCAACUAUUGCCCUGGUCCAGGUUGGGCAAUAUUCAGUGGUGGACCAACAACAGUUUUAAGGUCUGAUAUCUUGCGACCCAUCAGGGCUAGAAAUACCUGCAAUAUCCUAUUGAGGACCCAGGCGUCCUGCUUUCUAACAUCUAGCUUUUAUGGGUUGUGAAAUCACAAACUGUAAAACUGACAGCCUGAUGUAAACAAAAAUGUCAUGGGAGGCCAAUUCUGCUCUCAGAUCCAUGAGCACAGCUCUCAUUGAAGUCGAUAGGUGGAAGUUCAGUGUAACUGAGUGUGUAACCAGGGCCAUAGGUUUUUAAGUUAUUCAUAUUAAAGAUGAAAUUGGAUCAGAACCUUGGCUCUAAAGACCCCUGAACUUCAGGGAAGUUCUGUUCUAAUUCUAGACUUCUCUGUUCAAGUUUGUCUGUAUAAUGAGCCCAAACAACCCACCCAACCCCCAAAUCUUGGCUUUGGGCCCUCUUCUUAAUUCAUAGCAAUAUUCCUGUCACCAUAGAGGCUUAUAAAAAGAAUUAAGUAUCAGGAUCUCAGGCACUGGUCAAGGCCAGUAGUCACAAUCUGCCCAGGUGUCCUGCUGUAGGAUUAGGUUGGAGACAGUGAGCUAUGCCAAGUCAAAAGUCCACUGUGUCUGCCAAGGUUGGGAUAGCGGAGCCAGGCAAGGUACCAGGAAAUACAAGAAGAAGCCAGGAUCUGCCUAGCUGCACAGAUAGCCUCCAACUGUUCUCCCUGGCCUUAAAUAACACACUGGAGCCAACCAGGGGACUCAGUAGACCCUGCCAAUCCUGGCCUCCAUGAGCAGCCUCCUCCGAGGUGCCUGUCUGCUGCUCUGCUAGAGUUGUCAAAUGGCAGCGUGGCUGCAGCAGCUACCAAGGAGCCAGCAGUCAUGGGUUCAAGAGCUUCAUGCUAAAGUAAUUUACAUACUGGUGGAGGGAUCUGAUUAUUGUUACAGUGGUUCUUGUUGUGCAAGGCCCUGCACAAACAUAGUGACAGACAGUCCCUACCCCAAAGAGUGUACACCCUAAAAAGGCAGGACAGACAAAGGGUGAGGGGAGGCAGAGGCCCUUGAUCACCCAGCAGGUCAGUGGCAGAGCCAGAGGAUUGGCCCAUGUCUCCUGACACGCGGUCCAGUCCCUGAUCCAUUAGACACACAUUAGAGAAACAUACAUGAAUCUUUUCUCUAAUGUGUCAUACUACCACCAGCUGUUAGGUUUAUAAUGGGUUGUUUUUUGGCACGUGCUUCACAAGACUUGCCUAAGCUAAGGGCUUUGCUUGUUGUGAGUGAUGCAGGUGCCCCAAACUUAGGCCAGUAUCACCCUCAUGCCACCACGUGUUCUGUAUGCUGGAUGAGAGACCAAGCCAUGUAACUUUCUUCAUCGUUAUAUUGGCAGGAGCCUAAGGUGACCACGCCCCCUAUGAGUUUAACUUGCUCUGCCACUAUCUUCCUAAGCACAUACUAGCAUGCCCAUCAAAGCAUUCAAAGCUUCCUGGAGCCACUGGUUGAAAUUACUAUAGCUCAGCCCUUCAUUCUUUCUAAGGAAGAAAAAGUGAGCCCCAUGCAGUGUAUAGCAUGGUGGUUUUCAGAACACUGGCAUUGCCAUGCCAGGUCAAACCAGUGGCCCAUCCACUAUCCUGUUUCUGACAGUGGCCAGUACCUCCAAGGAAUAUGCUAAACAGCAGUGAUGGGAAAACUGUCCUAACAUGACCAGAGGAAAGUUUCUUUCUAAGCUAGUCUUGUUGAGUCUUUCCUAUCCUAUUCUGCACAGAUGUAAAACUCCCAGAGCUCUUUCUGUGAGCAGGGGUGUGCUGUUGGGUA